UGCCAGCAUCCUCGGUAAUACGGAGGGGGUUAGCGUUGUUCGGAAUUACUGGGCGUAAAGCGCACGUAGGCGGACUGUUAAGUCUGGCGUGAAAGCCCGGGGCUCAACCCCGGAAGUGCGUUGGAUACUGGCAGUCUUGAGUAUGGGAGAGGAAAGUGGAAUUCCGAGUGUAGGAGUGAAAUCCGUAGAUAUUCGGAGGAACACCAGUGGCGAAGGCGGCUUUCUGGACCAAUACUGACGCUGAGAUGCGAAAGCGUGGGGAGCGAACAGGAUUAGAUA
rnacentral:rRNA from 1 species